GUCCACGCCGUAAACGAUGAAUACUAGGUGUCGGGCGUCAAAACUCGGUGCCGCAGCUAACGCAUUAAGUAUUCCGCCUGGGGAGUACGCACGCAAGUGUGAAACUCAAAGGAAUUGACGGGGACCCGCACAAGCAGCGGAGCAUGUGGUUUAAUUCGAAGCAACGCGAAGAACCUUACCAGGUCUUGACAUCCUCUUGCAAGCGUCCUAGCCGACGCCCUCCUUCGGGACAAGAGAGACAGGUGGUGCAUGGUUGUCGU
rnacentral:rRNA from 1 species